GACGAACGCUGGCGGCGUGCUUAACACAUGCAAGUCGAACGAAGUGGCGAACGGGUGAGUAACGCGUAAUCAACCUGCCCUUCAGAGGGGGAAAAAAGUUGGAAAGGACUGCUAAACCCGCAUACGGAAGGCGGGGAUUGCGUCUGAUUAGCUAGUGGGAGGGGUAACGGCCCACUAAGGCGAGGAUCAGUAGCCGGUCUGAGAGGAUGAACGGCCACAUUGGGACUGAGACACGGCCCAGACCCCUACGGGAGGCAACAGUGGGGAAUCUUCCGCAAUGGACGAAAGUCUGACGGAGCAACGCCGCGUGAGUGAUGACGGCCUUCGGGUUGUAAAGCUCUGUUAAGCGGGACGCGGUACCGGAAUAGAAAGCCACGGCUAACUACGUGCCAGCAGCCGCGGUAAUUC
rnacentral:rRNA from 1 species